UGGCGGCCAAAGAUGAGAAUAAACGAACAAUCGAGAGAUGCAAACGUUUUACCGAAAGAGUGAACGUUAAUAUCACGGAUGCUGGGAAACUAGCUCAGCAGAUGAUUAAAGCAUCUGGAUCUCCCGAUAUUUUAUCACAAAGCACCAGAAGAUUUGUUCACAACGAGAAUGCUAUAAAAUCAACUGAAGAAAAUAUCAGGAAAAUGAGAAACUUAGUUGGACAAAUGGACGCACAGUAUGACGAGAUUCAUCAACGGUACGUUCCCGCCGCGGAAAAACUCCAAAACUUUCAAAUUUGGACGAAUAAUCUGAUGAAGAAGUAAUCCGAAUUGAAAGAUGAUCUAGUUAUUGUUAUUUUUAGGUUAGAGUUGAUUGCAAAAAUUGAUCACCAGAUGCAUUCGACGCCUGCGAAUUAAAUGGGCCAAUUUAUAUGUGAUUAAUAGAUUGUAAUAUUUUUGUAAAUCGGUAAAUUAUAUAA